UUGCCUUGCUACACCCAAUAACCACUCACUUCUGCUGUGAACCACUCAGUAUUCCUCUUGAAAACCAAACAUUUCUAGAGUUUAGCAAACUUUUUUCUGAGCCAUCUCCAUGCUGGGGAGAAAGGUUCAGACACUCUUUUCUAGGAAGAAGACAAAAAGGACUUCUGGUUCACAUGUGUUUGUUUUCAUCAAAUAACCCAGAAACCUGUAUGUAGAGUCUAGUUAUAUCAGGAUCCUGAGAUCAUAACAAUUCAAUUUCCCAUACUAGCCAGAUUUCCAGCGAAAUAACUGCUAUGAAGGCUUGGGAGCGUCCCCUUGUCAUUUUUGUGUGGAUAUAUCUGGCUGUUCCAGUGCUCAGCCAAGUCAGUGAUCCUGGCUUUGGACUUGAGGUCUUUAUAUGCUGGACUUCCAAUGGCAUGUGCACACAUACUAGAUGCCCUCGCUUUUCUUCCAAGAGUGGACAAUGUGGGCAAUUUGCUAUUUGCUGUACAAGUGCCAUUAAGAAUAUGUGGACUUGCUUGCUUGCUGAAGGCUACUGCUCGGUUGGGCAUUGUUCUCCCAGUUUAUAUGAAUACGGAACCUGCAGCAGAGGCACAUCGUGCUGUAUGAAGUCCCUGCCUCACGAGUAGGCAAAUGUUCUUGGGAGCCCAUGGAGUAUCUGGAGCUCCAGCUAUUUCUUCAUUUACAACA